AUCUCCUAGUUUGCUUCCCCUACGCCGCGGGCGUUUUCGCCCUCCGGGUUGUCGGCAGUUGUUGAUCCUUUCCCGAGCGGCUUGGUCUGUGUAGGCUUUUGGCUCAGUCCAGCGUUCUUAAUGCGGCCUGCUGGCCUUGGCGUCCCGCUGCUUGCUUUGCUAGGAAGGUGGUGUGGGCUCGGGCCCCCAGCGAGUGGAGAAUGAAGGGAGAAGAGUUCACCCUCCUCCUAAGCGAAAUGGCGGGAAACCUCCCUUCCAAAGGGCGAUUGUGAGCUGGCCGGAACAAGUGCUGCACCCUUGAGCUGGAUCUGGGUGGGACGUAUUCGACUGGGAAUGGAGGAGGGAGGGAGUCCAGUUCUGUUGUUUAAAAAGCACUUAGGAAAUUUCCACCGUCAGCUGCACAGUCUCGGUUCACAUAACUAGGUAUGUCAGAGACGUAAGAGGGCUGUAUUCUAACGAAUUCCUAGGCAGAUCUUUUCAGCUUUUGUUAAAGGUAGUGCUCGUUCCGACCAGCUCUGGAUACAGCAUUUUAUUCCUGCGGUAUCACUUCAAGUUAUCACUUGAAAAUAACUGACAAACACUGCCAAGAGCCCCAGUGCUCUAACGGUUUGGUGAUCGUCCCCUCUCUUCACCGAGUCGGUCACAAUCCCAACGCUAAAACCUUUGCACGGAUUUUCAUGGAGUUAAGCCGCAGAGCGAGGAAUACACUAGUAUUUGCUCAGUAGCAUACGUUUUGUAGUUGAAUCACUUUAAAGUUCACUUUUCCCGUUUUUGGCCAUUUCUUCAUCAAUCUGUACUUUCCUGUAAAACCUUUGAGAUUUUCAAAUGGCCUAAAAACAGUAUGGAAACGGGAAUGGGGGGAAUGUACAUACAGUUGGCACAAGAAAUAAAAAUAGAAAAAAUCUUUAUAUCAAUAAAAAUAUAAAUAAGCAAAAUCAGCUCAAGAAAAUGUAGAAAAUCUGAAUAGAUCAACUAAGUAAAAAUAAAUACAAUUGAAGAUAUUCAUUACCCCAAAAAGCACUAGACCAGAUGGUUCCAGGGC
rnacentral:lncRNA from 10 species